AAAAUCUUUUUUCAGAAGCUAAGGAGUCAAACAACAUUUUGUGUGCGAUCCUGCUCUAAGAAUCCAGGACAGAUUGUGAUCUUGGUCUGAGAUGAACAAAACAAUAUGACAAUGAAAAAAUGAAAGACACUUGGAACCAGUCUCCCACAGAAUCCUAAUCUGAUACUCUUAAAAAAAAAAUCAUGAAAUUUUGGUUCCGAUGCCAGGGUACACCACCGAUUUAAGAGACAGCACGUGUCACGUUGAUAGAACUCCUUAAAUGAAGUUGUCACGGUGGCAAACAAGACAGACAACCACCUCUAUGAUGGUUGUAUUUUAAUGAGGAGAUGGAGCCAACGGCCCUGGAUGCUCAUGUCCUCCCCACUUUUGGCAGCACAGCAGAGAGCUUGGAAAGGAGAUCUGAGUUAGUUGAACAGGCUAAUUACUAGUGUAUCAGGCUAAUGACAAGUCGCCAUGUUCUGGAGUAUCCCUUCCAAGGCCACCUCCCCGACCAGGGAUCUUGUGUCCUCUCAUGGAUGCUUUCCGACCUUGCCCCUCUUCUCAAAAGGCACACCACAAAUACACAGAACAUCCCCAGGGAAUGUCCUCCUUUAUUGGAACCUUGGCCAUGGGACAUGCAGACCACCUGC